rnacentral:tRNA from 1 species
GUCCAGGGAUGGGAAUCGAACCCACAGUGUUCCGCUUAUCGGGCAGAUGGCAUGUAUACUAGACUACCCUGAA